UGGGGAAUAUUGGACAAUGGGCGCAAGCCUGAUCCAGCAAUGCCGCGUGAGUGAUGAAGGCCUUAGGGUUGUAAAGCUCUUUCGCACGCGACGAUGAUGACGGUAGCGUGAGAAGAAGCCCCGGCUAACUUCGUGCCAGCAGCCGCGGUAAUACGAAGGGGGCUAGCGUUGUUCGGAAUUACUGGGCGUAAAGGGCGCGUAGGCGGCCUGUUUAGUCAGAAGUGAAAGCCCCGGGCUCAACCUGGGAAUAGCUUUUGAUACUGGCAGGCUUGAGUUCCGGAGAGGAUGGUGGAAUUCCCAGUGUAGAGGUGAAAUUCGUAGAUAUUGGGAAGAACACCGGUGGCGAAGGCGGCCAUCUGGACGGACACUGACGCUGAGGAGCGAAAGGGUGGGGAGCAAACAGGCUUAGAUACCCGUGGUAGUCC
rnacentral:rRNA from 1 species